GACGAACCGAGCGAACGUUAUUCGGAAUCACUGGGCUUAAAGGGCGCGUAGGCGGGCGAUCAAGUCAGGGGUGAAAGCCCCCAGCUCAACUGGGGAAGUGCCUCUGAUACUGGUCGUCUCGAGGGAGGUAGGGGCGUGCGGAACUUCCGGUGGAGCGGUGAAAUGCGUAGAUAUCUGGAGGAACACCGGUGGCGAAGGCGGCAUCCUGGACCGGCAUUGACGCUGAGGCGCGAAAGCUAGGGGAGCAAACGGG
rnacentral:rRNA from 1 species